UUGCUUGAGCAGCACCUAUACUAAAGUUGGAAUCAUACAGAGAAUGUUAGCAUGGCCCCUACACAAGGAUGACACACAAAUUCAUGACUUGUUCCAUAUUUUU
rnacentral:snRNA from 1 species